GGUGGACCUAAGUCACUCAACUGUGAUCUCAGUUUGGCUCACUAAAACAAACUUGCCUGUAAUUCUGGACUAAAGUCCCUUAUUUUCUCUCAGUUUAGUUUGCCUUCUAUUGGUCUUUGAGAGGCUUGUCAGACAGAUGAGGUUGUCUGAAUGUCCUUUGUCUCUUAAAUGCAGACCCAAGAAGGUGAAAUUCAGCUCUUCGUUUUACCCUGGUAACAUUCUCAGCCAUAGUCAGUCUAUUGGAGUCUACUCCCGAGCCUCGGGACUCUGCUUAACAUUCACAUUGUUCUUUCACAAAUAGACAUUGGCAAAUGCAAACCAUUCCGACCGUCUCUGAAGACCUCAGACUCUGCAGUGUUCUGUGCAAAGGUCACUCUCCAAGCUUUUGCCUUGAUUGGCUUUUUAAGCCAUCCCCUCCCACCACCUGAAGCUGCUUUGAACCCACUGAGAUGAAGUAAACACCCCAGGGUCCCCCAGAGGAAAGUGUAGAAGUGAGGAAGGGGUGCAGUGUCUGGAAGCAGAGGAAAGGAAAUCCAGUGUGUCUCAGUGUCCAUUCUCAUGGCUUCUGAGUUCUUACCAGAGUCCUAGAUGACACUGAAACUGGAAAUCACAGGCGCUUUCUCGUGAAACACAGACAAGACAAUAUGCAGUACUCAUGUUCUUUCUGAUUCUGAGCCUGAACAUCAUCAGUGUGGUUCAUCAGUGUGUGUGUGUGACCCAAGGGUCAACCUGAGAGGCACCUGCUGUUUCUCCUCCAAGAAAUUCUGUGUGCAGGCCAUAUAGUCAUCUCUUUGGCAACUCAAGAGCACCCAGAGCAUCAAAGAGCAUCAAGAGCAUCAAAGAGCAUCAAAGAGCAUCAAGAACAUUAGAGAACACCAAAGAACAUAAAAGAGCAUCAAAGAGUAUCAAGAGCAUCAAGAACAUCAGAGAACAUCAAAACAUCAAAGAGCAGCAAGAACAUCAAAGAGUAUCAAGAGCAUCAAAAGCAUCAAAGAGUAGAGUAUCAAAAGCACCAAAGAGUAUCAAGAGCAUCAAAGAACAUCAAAGAGCAUCAAAGAGCAUCAAAAGCACCAAAGAGUAUCAAGAGCAUCAAAGAGCAUCAAAGAGUAUCAAGAGCAUCAAAGAAUAUCAAAAACAUCAAAGAGUACCAAGAACAUCAGAGAACAUCAAAACAUCAAAGAGCAGCAAGAACAUCAAAGAGUAUCAAGAGCAUCAAGAAUCCUCCUCCAGCCAAACCCUGUUAAUUGGAUCAUACCUUCAUAACUUCCUUGGGAAACCCUCAUUUCCUAGUCACUCCUCAAGCAAUACUUCUUCCCAAGUGCAUUACAGCUGCACUUACAAUUACCCAGGUGGAAAAUUCUUCAAAACUUGUCUCCUCUCUAGCAUUGUUUCCUUUUUUCCUCCCCUGAAACAAGGUUUGACUUUAAACUUGCAGUAACUUCCUGCCUCGGCUUCCUGAGUGUUGGGAUUACAGGGCUGGUCAACCAUCCCUGGCUUGGGACUCUUUUUGAUUUUUAGAAGCAUUGCUAUGGUGGUGACUCUGUUUCCUAGGGACUUGAUAGUCUUAUGCUCAUCUUUCUCAUCAUGUCUAGUGGGCCUUUAAAAUGUACCUCAUCCAGCAGAGAAUGCAAGAAAAAGCAAUAUGACCUGCUGUGCCCACAGGAGGCAGUCAUUCCAUCCAUUCCUUCAUCUCAGGCUGAUCCCAGGUCAUAAGAUUUUCACAAGCAUUAGUGCUUCUGCUUGUUGACUCAUCUCUCUGUUCCUGAGAGACCGUGGGCUUCAUCCACAGCUAAUGGCAUAUACUCACAUAGUAUUCAAGACUUAAUUCAGGGUCCUCUUCUAUUAUUUUUUUAAACUCUUUGCUCUUUAGGGGCCUAGCUCCCAAAUAAUCACAUGGAGACUUACUCUUACUUAUGAAUGCUCAGCCUUAGCUUGACUUGUUUUAGCCAGCUUGUCUUAAAUUAUCCUGUCUACCUUGUGCCUCCAGACUUUUAUCUUUUUCUAUUCUAUAUAUCUUUCUUUAUUUCUUACUCCAUAGCUGGCUGUGUGGCUGGGUGACUGGCCCCUGGUAUCCUUCUCUCCUUCUCCUUUUUUCACUCCUCUUCUCUUUUCGCCUUCUAUUUAUUUGCUCUGCCUGGCAGCCCUACUAUCCUUCUCUUGCCCAGCUAUUGGCUGUUAAUCUCUUUAAUAGACCUAUUAGGUAUUUUAGGCAGGCAAAGUAACACAGCUUCACAGAGUUAAACAAAUGAAACAUGAAAGAAUGCAACACAUCUUUACAUGAUUAAACAAAUAUUCUACAGCAUAAACAAUUGUAACACAUCUUAAACUAAAUUCCACAACACACCCCUAAACAGAGAUGUCCUACACAUCUUCUGCCUUUACCUCUACUCUUCUACCUGCACACAGACUUCAUUUCCUGCCAGGAUGAUUCUGGACAAGUUACUGUGAUGUGAGGUUUUCUUCUUUGAAGUGAGGACAAUGAUGACAUCAAUUUCAUAAUGUUGAUUUGAAACAUAGUGCUUGGCCUAUUGUAAAUAUCACCUGAUGUAAUCAUAACAUUGAUGGAAAUAUUGGAGAGUUGAGUGCUAAAAUUGCUGUGGGAAAAGUCAAGAGCUCCCAUACAACCACCCAGCAAUUCUAUUCCAAGGAAUAGACUCAAGAGAAAAGAAAGCAUAUGUCCAAACAGAAGCUUGCAUGGAAAUGUUUCAACAGGAUCAUUCAUUAUAAUGAAGAGUAGACACAGCCCAACUGUCCAUCAAUGGAUUUACAGUUAAGCAAAGGAAUGUCACUCAGCCCCACCCCCCCAAGUCCUGAUGCAUACUGCAACAUGGAUGAACCUCCAAAAUAUGCCCUGUGAAAGAAGCACUCUUUAUCUAUUGAAAUAUCCAGGAUAGGCAAAUCAAUAGGAUAAGAAAACAGAUUCAUGGUUAAGCAGGGGUGGACAGAAGAGCUAAAGAGGGACUGGGGAAUAAUUCCUUAAUGGAUAAGACUGUUUGUUGAGGUAAUAAAAAUAUUUUGAAACUAUAGAGUAAUGUUAAUUAUACAACUAAAUAAUACCGUUUACAUACUUUAAUGGUUAUUUUUAUAUUGUGGUAUGUUUUACAUCAACUAAAAAGAAAAAAAUGAUGAGAGGAAAAAUUUAGGGAGGUGACAAGAGCCCAGGUUUCACCUACUUACAACUUGGUUGGAUUCUGCUAUUGUCCUGUUUUUCCAAGAGUGUGAUAUUGAAUUGACUCAAAAGAUAAUGAUUCAUUUAUUUAGCCUAAAAUAUGUAUAAUAUGUAUGUGGUGAGCCUGUGGUGGGCACUGGAAGCACAGAGUUUCUGCUAUUAAAGAGUCAUCUAGGUCCUGCUCCCAAACAAAGAAUUACUGAAGCCAGGACCAUAGGGUUUGGUCUCCUAUGGGCUCCUGUAUGUUUGCACUCAGCCUCAGUUUUAUGCUGUAUUGUGAACAAUCAGUCUUUGUACUUUCCCAGGAUACUGAGUGAUCUUGAGGGUAGAGGUCAUGUCUUAGUUACCACAUGCUACAGGAAGCAGGAUUUCACUGGCUUUAGUCCUUCGAGGGAUAUCUUCUGAUAUGACACAGGGAUAGCACUGGCCUUCCAGAUACUGACAGGAAAUGCAAACACUUCUCAAUGGAUGGCUAGAAGUGGGAGAAAUGGGGAGCAGAACUCAGCUAUCCCUUAGAGAAAGGGUGGCUAGCUCUAGAAGAGAUGAAAGCAUCAACUCUCCCUCCAAGUUCUUGCUUCUUUGCAUAAAUUUUGUUAUUGUGAGGCUUGGUAAUGGGGAUGUUCAGGUCAUUAGUGACAAAGAGCUGAUGUGUGAUGACACAUUUCUGUAAGAAAUUUAAGAACUCAGCUUGUCAGAUCUUACAGUACAAACAGGCCAGGCCAGAGGCAUUAAUGCGGUGCUACCACGGUCAGGACGCCUCCCGGUGGCUGGACCUCUCUGCUGCUCCUGGGAGGAUUCUGGAUGUCAGACUAUUGGGUUUCUGAGAGCUGAGUUUGGUGGUCCAGAGAUCUGCCUUGCUGCUGCUAUCAGUUGAGGACACAGCGAAGAGACACCAUUCUGUUCUGUGGGCUAUCAAGCAGGCCCUCACUGACAGGGCCUUGGUCUUAGACUUCCAAGUUUGUAUAACUGUAGGGCAUAAAUUCUGUUGUUUAUAAGCUACCGUAGUUUAUGGUAAUAUUGACAGGAGAGUGCAAGGAUUAAAAUGUAAUUUUUCAUUAUUGCAGAAUUCAAUCCAAGACAUCAUACUGAUUUAGCUGCCACGUCCCCUUCCAACUUGGGAACAAUUCUCCAGGACUGGCUAGCUAUUUUGCAGACUGCUUUCCAAUUUGAGUUUUUCGGAUGCAUUUUCCAAGUCAAGUGAGGUUUUUCAUUGUUUGGAAAAACAAUCCGGAAAUGGUGUAUCCAUCUCAGGAUAGUACUAUAUUAGGAAGAAUGACGUCAACAGAUCGCACUACUGUCAGCCUUAGUCAUGAUCCUCUGAAUAAAAUGAUGCCAGCUGGGAUGUUUUCCUCUAUGUAAUUAAUGAAAUCUUCUGGGAGAUAGAGAUUUUAGAUUAUCCCGAUAAGCCAUUCUGUUACAACAUUUGAUCACUAAUUUUAACAACCAAUGAUAGACUUGCCUGUCAAAGUUAUUACUGUAGCACACACCAUGAGUAUGUUCACAAAUACAUAUGAGAUGGGUAAACAGAGUUUUCUAUUAAUUGAAACUACUUUGAAUUGUCUUUAUCACUGGAUCCAUUAGGACAGGAUUUUAAUAUGACAAAUGGGCAUAACCAAAUAAGUAAAUUCCUUUUCACUCAUUUAUCUCUUCCAUCCAUUCAUCAUUCAUGAAUUUCUCUUCCUCAUCCUCUUCCUCCUCUUCCCUCUUCCUACCCCUUUCUCUGUCUCUUUCUCCUUAUAAAAGAAACUAAUUAAGGUGCCAAUAUUCAUGUUUAUCUCCGAUGUGCCCUACCCAAAUGCCCUACUCCCUGACGAUCGGAUUGAAUUGUUAUGUAAACUCAAUCUUACAGCCAAAUCAGUCAGCCAAGAUGAGAACAUUCAUUUCUUUGAGCAGAUGGUUGUCAAAACUGGUAUGAAUAAAGAAGAGUUAAUUUGUUUUAUUGGAAUAUGUGAUCACCCAAACCCGACUCUGUUAUGGACAUCUGUCAUUCUUUCAUUCUUGGUAUUUCUCAACCUUCUUCAGGUCAUAGCAGCCAAAUUUCCUCCACAGAGUCUCACCUCCUUUGUUUUGUGUGUAUGUGUGUGUGUGUGUGUGUAGGUGUGUGUGUGUGUGUGUAUACAUGUGUGUACAAUGUUACAUGUCUUCCUCUUUCAUGCCACAUGACUUUUUGAGACUGGUCUUUUACUGAACUUGGAACUUCAUUGAGUUGUGAAAACAAGCUGGCACUAAGCUCCAAGGAUACUCCUGUCACUGCAUCCCCACCAAUAGGGUUGCAGGUACAUACUAUAACACCUGGCUUUUUACAUGGAUGCUGAGGAUUCAAACUUGGGUGUAUAUGUUUGAGCAAUAAGUACUUUACCAGUGGUGUGAUCUAGUUCAUAUUAAUUACUUUUCUGUCGCUAUAAUAAAAUACCAUAACAAAAAGUAACUUAGAGGAAAAAGGUUUAUUUUGGCUUACAGUUUAGGGGGAUAGAAGUCAUCAUGGCAGGAAGACAUGACAACAGGUGGACAUGGCAGCAGGAGUAGGAAGCUGGAUGAUCACACUUCAUCCAUAUGUAAUGUGCUGGUUAGUUUUUUUUUUUUUUUUUUUUUUUUUUUUUUGUCUACUUGACACUAGAAUCAUCUGGGAAGGAAGGAUUUCAGUUGAGAAAAUGCCUCCAGCAGACUGGCCUAUAGGCAAGUCUGUUAGGGUGUUGUCUUGAUUAAUGAUUGAUAUAGAAUAGCCUCUGCUUCAGUUCCUG
ensembl:lincRNA